rnacentral:lncRNA from 1 species
CCAUUCACUUUAGCUCCUCAGCACAUUGCUACUCCACAAUUUUCAAGGUUAACAAGAAAAUGGAGAAUCUUCACUUGGUAGUCUGGACUAUUCCCCUAUGCAUAGGGCAAAAGGCUCUAAAAGGCCUACCGACAUACUAAGCUACAGUGUACCAACGGCUGUAGAGUGUGCUUUAUUUAAACCUCUUAUUUCCCAAAUGCAUUGAAGUUGCCACUGUACAUGUUAAGCAAUAAAGAAAAGUUAGUGAAAAUCAUGCAUUUUAAAACAAAUUAAUUUUAAGCAUUGUUAAUAAGAUUGUGCUGCAGCGAUGAAGUAUCCUGAACUGCAGGCCAGGUAUCCAAAUAUUUGUUACAUGUUGUUCAAAUAUCACUUUGAAGUGGUACUUCCUUAUUACUGUUGUUUGCAUUCAGCAGGUUGGCUGGAAUCUUUCUUAGGAUCACUUUCUGCAUCUUCCUC